ACAUUGAUGCACCAGCUCCCAUAUGAUCACUGAAGUUAAGCAAUAUUGAGUCUGGUCAGUACCUUAGUGGGUGACAACUUGAGAAUACAAGGUGCUGUAAG